CUCUACAAAGAGUCUGAAGAAGACAGUUUCUCCGGAUGUGGGUCAUGAGGGCUGCUGAAAUGUCUUCUCCAGAUCUGAAGGGCGGCGGUGUUCAGGAGACCUUCAACACUUCCAUUCUGGACUCAGGGAAAAACGCAUGUUUAUUCCUGAAAGAAGAGUCCGAAGAGUGCUCUUGUAAGUUCAGGAAUGGAAGUAAGGACUUCUAAAAGGACUUGACUGAAAACUGGAAGACAUUUUAUUUUGUUUUGUUUUUCUAAUUAUCAAAAGUAUCUGAAAACAUAUCUGUAAAUCUAUA